UGGUUCUGGCAUCGAUGAAGAACGCAGCGAAAUGCGAUAAGUAAUGUGAAUUGCAGAAUUCAGUGAAUCAUCGAAUCUUUGAACGCAUAUUGCGCCCCUUGGUAUUCCGAAGGGCAUGCCUGUUCGAGCGUCAUUAUCAACCAUCAAGCCCGGCUUGUUAUUGGGUCUGAAUCGCUUUGGCGAUUGGCCCGAAAGAUAAUGGCGGUGUCCAAAUAGACCCCAGGUGCAGCGAGCUUUAUAAGCAUACACUGAGGUGGUCGUUUGGGCCCGGCCUAAAUCACUAUUUCGAUAGUUUUUCUUAAGGUUGACCUCGGAUCAGGUAGGAUUACCCGCUGA
rnacentral:misc_RNA from 1 species